GCCUGGGUGGCUUAGUGGUUGGGCGCCUGCCUUUGGCUCAGGUCGUGACUGGGAUCGAGUCCCACAUCAGGCU
rnacentral:tRNA from 1 species